GUGUCUGUGAACAGACAAUUCACAGUCUUACGGUGGUACAGAAAUGGCUUAGCUAAGGCAAAACAUUUUAUUAUUCCAAAAGUAAAUGACAGCCAUGGUUCUCUGCUCCCAUCAGUCCUUCAAUACUCCGAACUCAUUGAACGAAUGACCAGCACUUGUUGAGCAUUUUGUACUGGGGCUGGACAUUGACCUCCAUCUGAAAUGGACUCGGAGAUGAAACAGCACGUCGUCUGUCGUGCCUACACUCCAGCAGCUGACUGAACCUUGCUGUGUAGCUGUUCUAAAUGGAUUAACCCAUGGCUUCUACGUGAAUCAUUCUACCCACAGCCUCAUUUCCAGGUAUUUACACCUAAUUUCAUCUUCCUCUCUGACCCUCUGCUGGAAUUCUUCCUAAGGAUCUUGAACUAUGUGUUAAUUUGCUGAGGUUGCCAUAACAAAAUACCAUUCUGGGGGUCUUAAUCACGAGAAGCUUUUUUCUCGCAGUUCCUGAGGCUGGAAGCCCAAGAUGAAGAAUGACCCCUGGUCAGAGGAGAGGAUUUGGAAAUCCCAUAGAGGGUCACCUUUAGGAAGACCUCGGUCUUCACAAGUAGGAGGACCAUCAAAAACUGCUGCGUUACUCUAUCACCACCGUGUGAACAAACCCAGGCCAGCCUACAGAAGGAUGUACAGCAGAGAGAAAUCAUCCUACCAGAGGCCAGCUCUUGGUGAACCCGAGAGGCACUGUCCAUUACACGAGCGAUUCUAAAGAAGAGCAGCUACACUAACUUCUAUCAUCAGACCUACUCAGUUGACCCUGUAGAUACCUGAACAAUUAUUAAAUUCUUAU